AAAAUGUGAUGAUACCAGAGAAAGGUUUCGCUUAAGUGACUGAUGUCCCGUGAUGUUACAUUUCUCUUGGCUGUCUGAUUAA